CUUGGGACUAUUAAGAUCUACCAUAUUUACAUAGGGCAGAAGAUAAGAUUAUUGGACUGACUACUAGUCCUCUUCGGGGCAACAAGACGACUCUUCCUCAUUGAAGCUACCUGUGCACCGGAGACGCCCCUAAGGCACAAAGGGAGGACUUUCCCACCAGGUCAGUUAGAGCACAGUUCCCACAAGUGGACAGACAGACGUGAAGCAAGUCUUGCAGUUAACAAGAUGGACAUUGCUUUGUGUAUUUUGCAAGUGUUGGACUGAAUGUGCUCCUUUAAAUAGGUGUCCUUUCCAUACCAUAUUUUUAUUUCCAUCCCUCUCUCCCAGUUACAUGGUGUUAUGUUUAAUAAUUGUUCAGAAUCGGUAUAGAGUUCUGCUUCUCUUCCAACAUCUUUCUUGUGACCUGUGCUAGAUCACCUUUUAGUUUUAAGGGGAAAAACAAUUUUUCUAGAAAGUUUAUAGUUUGCUCUAGCAUUUUCUGUAGAAAUCUUUUGGGAGGUGGUAUUUAGAACUGAAAAAACUAGAAUGUACUUGUUCUGUGUACCACUUUUGCCUGUAACCUGAAGUUUCACCCUUCCAAAGAAAAUAGAGGAAAAAGCUGGAAUUUAUUUAUUUUCAUUCUUUUUUUGUGUCUGGAAAAAGUUUUAAUUUCUCCUUUUGUUAAAGCAACUCUCGAUGGCGUAUAUUUCCUUAUUAGCAAAGCACAGAAGUUGAGUUGACUUGGAUUGGGAUUUGAUAUCAGUUUUCUUACCUUAGGCUUGUUCCUCUUGAAUAUUUACAUAUAAUCUUUUGCAUUUAUAAAUACUUGAUGGGUGAACAUGCCAAUUAAACAUGGAAUUUGUGCCUUUUGUGAUUAAUAUUUUUACCCUUUUAAUGUAAUAAUUUAACUUCAUUAUGAACACAGUUUUGAAUGCUUUUAUACCCUUGCUUUCUGAUAUUUCUUAUUCAAAAUCUGCAAUAUCUUGAAUUCCCCUUCUUACUCCCUCCUCCAUAAAUACAAAUUGUAUCCUUUUGGUUAAUUCGGUUACUUGCAGUGUGUGGGAAAUGAUUGUCUUUCAUAUCUCUAUUGUUUCACUUUUAAAGAGUAAUGUAUUUACUGCACUUUAAAAUCUAUGGUUAAUGUCUUCUUUUAUGGCAGAAAAGAGGGGAUCUGAUGAUAAAAAAAGUAGUGUGAAGUCCAGUAGUCGAGAAAAACAGAGUGAAGAUCCAAACACUGAAUCGAAGGAAAGUGAUACUAAGAAUGAGGUCAAUGGGACCAGUGAAGACAUUAAAUCUGAAGGUGACACUCAGUCCAAUUAAAACUGAUCUGAUAAGACCUCAGAUCAGACAGAGGUAAGUGUAUUGUUUCUCACUUUGAUUAGGGCUUUUUGUUACUGUUUGACAGUGCAGCGUAAGUAUGCACAGAUGAAGAUGGAACUAAGCCGAGUAAGAAGACAUACAAAAGCAUCUUCUGAAGGAAAAGACAGUGUAGUCCUGCAAAACAUUUUGAGGUACAUUGUUUUGUCUCAGCUAUUUUGUAGCAGACUCGUGUCCCCAUUAGUGUGCCUCUUUGGAAAUUAUUGCCCACCUUUGUAAUGUAGUCGCCAUUAAAAAGUUAAUUAUCCUUUUUUUUAGGGAUUUUGCUGUCAUUUCUUUUUUUUUUUUUUUUUUUUUUUUUUUUUAAUAAAAAGGUUGAACUGUUUUUUUAUUAUUAUUAUUAUUUUUUGGUAUUAAGUCCAUCUUGUGUUGGUACAUUGGCAGAAACAUAUGCUUUAAAAACUUAAAUAUUUCUGAGGCACAUGUUGGACUACUUUGUUUUAAUUAAACUGCUAGUAUUUCUUUGUCAAGGAUGUUUCUAGUUUUUUUGCUUUAUUGCCUUGCAUUCUAAUGCAGUUUGUUCUGUAACUCGAGAGCCAGUAGCAUUGGAUUGAUGGAAGUGUAGGGUUUAUGAAUUAUUGCAGCUGACUACCAUACCUCACACAGCGUUGGUGUUGUGAGCGGCCCAUGAAAAGCCAAAUUAAAAAUCAAGGAUUCAGUCAAACUAAGCAGGUACUCAUGCCAGGUACUCCUUUCUCUACCCACAUCCAUGUUUGAAUGCUAUUGCCUGUGAUCUUUACGCUUAACUGUUGUGUAUCUUUUUUGUUCUUUAUAAGAAGCACAGAGGGGUUUUUGUGUAUUGCGUGAAAAGUUAUAAAUCAAAUGUUAACAGAAUGGAAUUUUUUUUCAACUGUGUGUAGGGAUGCAGUGGUGCCCAGAAUUAGAUAUCUUUAAAGAAAUUUAAAUACAAUAAACACUUCAUAUUAUUCGCCUUGUUACAUUCAAUGCAAUUCUCAAGUCUUUAAGAGGUAUGUGCUUAAUAUUUCCUACUUUGUAGGAGAAUUUGCAGUCAGCCAUAGGUGUAUAGGAAUAGUUACUGGCUGAUAUGUUUAAAGCAGCAGUGAAUAGGAAGGACAGACAACUUCAAUCUGUGACAUGCAAAGAAUUGUUGAACUGUAUAGAAUGAAUUUGGGUUUUUAAAGAACUAUUAAGUUAGGUUUUGUAAGUGUUCUUAAAACCUCUAUAAACUGUUCAUUCUUUGGGCUAGUGGUGUGGGAUGAAAUAUUCCUAAUAAAAGGAAGUACCAAUUAGUUGAUUUGUUGAUGGCAUUCCUUUUCUAGGAAAGCAGUUUAGAGUUUCUGUGUGAGCUAUUCACACAUAGGCAUGCAUACACAGGCACAUGGCUUUAAGAACCACACUGAUGCCUUAACUGUUAAAAAGAUACAAACAUUUCAUAUACACGUUUAAUAUAAUUAGCAGUUAGUGACUGGGCCAACACUUUGUCAUAAAAAUUUGCCUUUUAUAUGCUGUCUAAUUAUCAUUUUUCCCCAAAUUUUGCAUUGUAGGACUACUGUUCGAAGAUUUUUUGAAGAAUACUGAAAACGGCAUAAAGUGAAGAUCGGCAUUAAAAUGAGGUGAAAGAAAGCUAUAGUGGCAUAGAAAAAGUAUAAAAAGCUCAGUUAGUGUUUUUUUUUUAUUUUAUUUUAAUUAAAAAUUAAUUCAGGACUGAUGUGACCUUCCAGAUUUCAGAACAUGUGUUAAUAGCAUAUAUGCCACUGAAAAUUUAGGUCCUGUAUCAUAAUUUUUCUUUAAGACUUUUUAAGAUAUUACCUAAACAUGUGGCUUGCUCAGUGUUUAAUUGCAAGUUUUCAUUCUUGGACUUUGAAAACAGGAUUAAACGUUAGUAUUCGUGUGAAUCAGACUAAGUGGGAUUCCAUUUUUACAACUCUGCUAUACUUAGCCUUUGGAUAUAGAAGUAAAAAUAAAGUAUCUCUGACUUUCUGUUACAAAGUUGACUGUCUGUGUCAUUG
rnacentral:lncRNA from 1 species